AGCGUAGACGGUGUGGCAAGUCUGAUGUGAAAGGCAUGGGCUCAACCUGUGGACUGCAUUGGAAACUGUCAUACUUGAGUGCUGGAGGGGUAAGCGGAAUUCCUAGUGUAGCGGUGAAAUGCGUAGAUAUUAGGAGGAACACCAGUGGCGAAGGCGGCUUACUGGACGGUAACUGACGUUGAGGCUCGAAAGCGUGGGAGCAAACA
rnacentral:rRNA from 1 species